GAUGAACGCUGGCGGCGUGCCUAAUACAUGCAAGUCGAGCGAAUGGAUUAAGAGCUUGCUCUUAUGAAGUUAGCGGCGGACGGGUGAGUAACACGUGGGUAACCUGCCCAUAAGACUGGGAUAACUCCGGGAAACCGGGGCUAAUACCGGAUAACAUUUUGAACCGCAUGGUUCGAAAUUGAAAGGCGGCUUCGGCUGUCACUUAUGGAUGGACCCGCGUCGCAUUAGCUAGUUGGUGAGGUAACAGCUCACCAAGGCAACGAUGCGUAGCCGACCUGAGAGGGUGAGCGGCCACACUGGGACUGAGACACGGCCCAGACUCCUACGGGAGGCAGCAGGAGGGAAUCUUCCGCAAUGGACGAAAGUCUGACGGAGCAACGCCGCGUGAGUGACGAAGGCUUUCGGGUCGUAAAACUCUGUUGUUAGGGAAGAACAAGUGCUAGUUGAAUAAGCUGGCACCUUGACGGUACCUAACCAGAAAGCCACGGCUAACUACGUGCCAGCCGCCGCAGUAA
rnacentral:rRNA from 1 species